rnacentral:rRNA from 1 species
UGGCGGCAGGCCUAACACAUGCAAGUCGAGCGGUAACAGAUCUAGCUUGCUAGAUGCUGACGAGCGGCGGACGGGUGAGUAAUGCAUAGGAAUCUGCCCGAUAGUGGGGGAUAACCUGGGGAAACCCAGGCUAAUACCGCAUACGUCCUACGGGAGAAAGGGGGCUCCGGCUCCCGCUAUGGGAUGAGCCUAUGUCGGUUGGUGAGGUAACGGCUCACCAAGGCGACGAUCCGUAGCUGGUCUGAGAGGAUGAUCAGCCACAUCGGGACUGAGACACGGCCCGAACUCCUACGGGAGGCAGCAGUGGGGAAUAUUGGACAAUGGGCGAAAGCCUGAUCCAGCCAUGCCGCGUGUGUGAAGAAGGCCCUCGGGUUGUAAAGCACUUUCAGCGAGGAAGAACGCCUAGCGGUUAAUACCCGCUAGGAAAGACAUCACUCGCAGAAGAAGCACCGGCUAACUCCGUGCCAGCAGCCGCGGUAAUACGGAGGGUGCAAGCGUUAAUCGGAAUUACUGGGCGUAAAGCGCGCGUAGGUGGCUUGAUAAGCCGGUUGUGAAAGCCCCGGGCUCAACCUGGGAACGGCAUCCGGAACUGUCAAGCUAGAGUGCAGGAGAGGAAGGUAGAAUUCCCGGUGUAGCGGUGAAAUGCGUAGAGAUCGGGAGGAAUACCAGUGGCGAAGGCGGCCUUCUGGACUGACACUGACACUGAGGUGCGAAAGCGUGGGUAG